UACGUAGGGUGCGAGCGUUGUCCGGAAUUAUUGGGCGUAAAGAGCUCGUAGGCGGUCUGUCGCGUCUGCUGUGAAAACCCGAGGCUCAACCUCGGGCCUGCAGUGGGUACGGGCAGACUAGAGUGCGGUAGGGGGAGAAUGGAAUUCCUGGUGUAGCGGUGGAAUGCGCAGAUAUCAGGAGGAACACCGAUGGCGAAGGCAGUUCUCUGGGCCGUAACUGACGCUGAGGAGCGAAAAGCGUGGGGAGCGAACAGG
rnacentral:rRNA from 1 species